rnacentral:lncRNA from 1 species
GGGGGGUAGUAGAGUGACGUAAAAGUGAGAGUGAGUAAAAGUGAGUUGGGUUGAAAAGUCAACAAAUGGUAUCAGAGCCUAGCCUCUCCCAGUACGGUGUGGUUCGAGGACGAACCAGACGGAAGCUGGUGGGCAUGUGACACCCGAGCACUGACGAGGGCGGGGAGUGAUCGCCGGUGCAAGAGGCAUGGUGCAGGGGGCACGGACAAGGAGCGGCUCCUGGCAGGCUUCGAGUGGAAGGGACACAUGGACGAAUCGAACAUACACCGGAAUGAGAGGGAUUUGGAGACUGUAUAGGUAUGGGACUAUACAGUUGAAGGAUAGCUUAAAGGAAUUGAUUUGGCUACCCAUAUCACCAAAAUGCAUUUACUUUUCGGAAGCCUAACCCAUA